CAAUGGACGAAAGUCUGACGCAGCGACGCCGCGUGGAGGAUGAAGGUUUUCGGAUCGUAAACUCCUGUCAAGAGGGAAGAAACCUAUUAUGAAUAAUACUCAUAGUAAUUGACGGUACCUCUAGAGGAAGCACCGGCUAAUUCAGUGCCAGCAGCCGCGGUAAUACUGAAGGUGCAAGCGUUAAUCGGAAUCACUGGGCGUAAAGCGCUCGUAGGUGGCUUUGUAAGUCAGGUGUGAAAGCCCACGGCUCAACCGUGGAAUUGCACUUGAUACUGCAUCGCUAGAGUAUAGGAGAGGGAAGUGGAAUUUCUGGUGUAGGAGUGAAAUCCGUAGAGAUCAGAAGGAACACCCGUGGCGAAGGCGACUUCCUGGACUAUUACUGACACUGAGGAGCGAAAGCGUGGGGAGCAAACAGGAUUAGAUACCCUGGUAG
rnacentral:rRNA from 1 species